GGAUGAUUAGCUUAGUGGUAGAGCGCUUCCUUCACACGGAAGAGGUCGCCAGUCCAAUUCUGGCAUCAUCCA
rnacentral:tRNA from 1 species